UACGUAGGUCGCAAGCGUUGUCCGGAAUAAUUGGGCGUAAAGCGCGCGCAGGCGGUUCCUUAAGUCUGGUGUGAAAGCCCACGGCUCAACCGUGGAGGGUCGUUGGAAACUGGGGAACUUGAGUGCAGAAGAGGAAAGCGGAAUUCCACGUGCAGCGGUGAAAUGCGUAGAGAUGUGGAGGAACACCAGUGGCGAAGGCGGCUUUCUGGUCUGUAACUGACGCUGAGGCGCGAAAGCGUGGGGAGCAAACAGG
rnacentral:misc_RNA from 1 species